rnacentral:rRNA from 1 species
CACGAACGCUGGCGGCAGGCUUAACACAUGCAAGUCGAGCGCCCCGCAAGGGGAGCGGCAGACGGGUGAGUAACGCGUGGGAAUCUACCCAUCUCUACGGAAUAACGCAUGGAAACGUGUGCUAAUACCGUAUACGUCCUUCGGGAGAAAGAUUUAUCGGAGAUGGAUGAGCCCGCGUUGGAUUAGCUAGUUGGUGGGGUAAAGGCCUACCAAGGCGACGAUCCAUAGCUGGUCUGAGAGGAUGAUCAGCCACACUGGGACUGAGACACAGCCCAGACUCCUACGGGAGGCAGCAGUGGGGAAUAUUGGACAAUGGGCGCAAGCCUGAUCCAGCCAUGCCGCGUGAGUGAUGAAGGCCCUAGGGUUGUAAAGCUCUUUCACCGGUGAAGAUAAUGACGGUAACCGGAGAAGAAGCCCCGGCUAACUUCGUGCCAGCCGCCGCCGUAAGAC